GCGACCAAGGCGCCUGCGCGACCCCAGGUCCAGCCCAUCCCUCCAUUCCCUCUAACCGCUAGCCCCGGCCCCUCUUGACAACCACCCGCUACGCUUACCCGGUUACAAGGAACCCAGGCUGCAACCAGGAAAAACUGCCAUCAGAAAGUUUAUCUAAGCAGGAGCAAACUUGGCUGGACCGGCCCCUGACCCGCCUUGGCGCCGCCGCCCCUGUCUUCUGCGGUCCCCGGCCAGGCGAGGACCAGAGUUUUGUUCUCGGAGAUUCUUGCCUUUCUUGUUUUAGCACAAACACGCACGUACCCCUUUCCCAUAACGAGCCCCUCGGCCCAACUACAGCUCCCGGGAUCUGUCGCAGGGGCUGGAAAGGCCCCACUCGAGAGGCCCGAGCUGGCUGCGGCUCUUGGUCCCGGGGCAGGUUCUCCAGGAUACGCUCUGGACGCCUGGGCGGGUUGUUUUGCUUCGGCCUCGCUGGCCGGGGGCCCGCCCACCCCGCCUGGAACGCGGUUUGGAUCGGCGCUGGGAGCCCUCUGUAACCCUAGCUGAAGGCCGCGCAGGCAGGCGGGGAUGCGGGAGCUGCGGGGCCGGUUCCCCGCCAGCACCCAGCCUUUUCGGAAUCAGGCGGGUCCCUGGUGAUUCGCUGGGUUUUCCCACUUCCCAUGGGGACCUCACCUUUGGGAAUUUAUUGCUGACAGUGUUAGAGUUACAAAGUAGUCAGUGUCACGGAGGGAACCUCAAAGAGACAAAGGGACACCUCGAAGGUGUCAGAGAGACGGUUGUUUCGGACAGAAACAGAACAGCGAAGCGGAAAGAAAACAGACCUUAUUUCUGUUCUGUUCCGCUUCAGACAGUAGCAGAGGAGACUUGGAUUUCAUUGGUGUUGGUUUUCGUGAUUCCUGCCUUCUAAAAUCCCAAGACUUAUUUAUCAUUUAUCAUCAGCUCAGAUCCCAGGAAAAUAGCCCACUGCACUUCUGUUUCUGCUCCAAGUCACCCAUUAAAUAAAUAAUUGAACACCUGCUGGUGCCAGGCGCAGUUCUAAUGCUUGGGAUAUGUCGGUGAACAAAGCAAAGGUCUCCCUCACGUGGGGGAGCUGAAGGCCUGCGGGGAAGAAGUGGGAGACAGAGGGUAAACCGUGGCCAUCCCUAAGUAAAUUAUUUGGGGUGUUGGAAGAGGUCGGUGAUAGGGAAAACAAGAAAAAGAAUAUGGGGGCCCAGAGUGCUUGUGUCUGGAGCAGGUCACAGAAUUAAAUAGAUGGUG
rnacentral:lncRNA from 1 species